CAAUAGCGUAUAUUAAAGUUGUUGCAGUUAAAAAGCUCGUAGUUGGAUUUCUGGUGGGAGCGAUCGGUCUGGCGCUUAGCGCGAGUACUUGCAUCGUCUCCGGCCAUCCUUGGGGAAAGUCUGUCUGGCAUUAAGUUGUCGGGCAGAGGAUCCUCAUCGUUUACUGUGAAAAAAUUAGAGUGUUCAAAGCAGGCUUAUGCCGUUGAAUAUAUUAGCAUGAAAUAAUAAGAUAGGACUUUGGUACUAUUUUGUUGGUUUGCGCACCAAAGUAAUGAUUAAUAGGGACAGUUGGGGGUAUUCGUAUUCCGUUGUCAGAGGUGAAAUUCUUGGAUUUACGGAAGACGAACUACUGCGAAAGCAUUUACCAAGGAUGUUUUCAUUAA
rnacentral:rRNA from 1 species